UGUAUAUGUCUGAGUGUGUGUGUUUGUGCGUGUGCUCGCUCUGUUCCUUUCCUUUCUUUGUUUGACUACUGAGUGGGAGAAAAAAAAAGAGAAAGAAGCGAGACAGAAUAUAGAGAGAUAGUGAGAGAGGGUGAGGAAGAGAAAACACAGACAGAGGAGAAGAAGAGGAGGAUCUAAAAGGAGAGUUUAUUUUUUAGACAAGAAGAAAGACAAAGAGGAUUUCUGUUUUGGGGCUGCUUUCUUUUUUUCCUUCUGUUCUAUACUUGCAGAAUAGAAUAGGAAAUAUAUAUAUAUAAAUACAAAAACAACAACAACAACAGUGCUGCAUGCUUUUGACAACAGUGUCAUAUUCAGUGAGUGUUUUGUGUGCUGGCUCAGUGCGCGUGUGUGCUGAGGAGGUGGGGGGAGGCAGCCUGUGCAAUUUAAAGGGAAAAUACAAGACACACACAAAGCUGGGAGCGCAGGCAAGGCAAGGCAAGGCAAGGCAGCAGGAAAGGCAAAAGGAAAGGGAAGCUAGUGGGAAUCUGCUGAGCUGGCUCCCACCAACAAGACUCUUUUUGGAUUUUACUCCAGCGAAGCCGGCUCCGUGUCUCCCCUGUGCACUCAGCCUGCUCCCGGCAACGGAGGUGCUGAUCUUUUAACUUCUGACUGAAGUGGUGAUGAAUUGAUGACCGCUGCUUCAACUCGCUCUGGAAUGUCACAGAUGUGUUUGACCCAGUUUUAACAAAAGGUGAAAAUAGAAAUGCUCCAAAUUUCCAAAGUUGUGUCAUUUUGGUGGAUUAAAUUAUACAUCGAAAGUCUUUUACAAUCUUUUUUGUGUGAAUGUUGAUCGGGUAAAGCAACAGAAUCCCUCUGAAGUUUUUCCUCUCGCUCUUGUGGUUGUUGACACAGUAAACCUCUCGACUGACCUUUGGUUCUCCACGUUGUGGUUUCAG
ensembl:lncRNA